rnacentral:rRNA from 1 species
GACGAACGCUGGCGGCGUGCCUAAUACAUGCAAGUAGAACGCUGAAGGAGGAGCUUGCUUCUCUGGAUGAGUUGCGAACGGGUGAGUAACGCGUAGGUAACCUGCCUGGUAGCGGGGGAUAACUAUUGGAAACGAUAGCUAAUACCGCAUAAGAGUAGAUGUUGCAUGACAUUUGCUUAAAAGGUGCAAUUGCAUCACUACCAGAUGGACCUGCGUUGUAUUAGCUAGUUGGUGAGGUAACGGCUCACCAAGGCAACGAUACAUAGCCGACCGGAGAGGGGAAUCGGCCACGCUGGGACUGAGACAUGGCCCACACACCUACGGGAGGCAGCAGGAGGGAAUCCUCGGCAAUGGACGGAAGUCUGACCGAGCAACGCCGCGUGAGUGAAGAAGGUUUUCGGAUCGUAAAGCUCUGUUGUAAGAGAAGAACGAGUGGGAGAGUUGAAAGUUCACACUGUGACGGUAUCUUACCAGAAAGGGACGGCUAACUACGUG